GGUUAAGCGAAUAAGCGUACACGGUGGAUGCCUAGGCAAUCAGAGGCGAUGAAGGACGUGCUAAUCUGCGAUAAGCGUCGGUAAGGUGAUAUGAACCGUUAUACCCGACGAUUUCCGAAUGGGGAAACCCAAUAUCCAAUGGAUAUUAUCAUUAACUGAAUACAUAGGUUAAUGAAGCGAACCGGGAGAACUGAAACAUCUCAGUACCCCGAGGAAAAGAAAUCAACCGAGAUUCCCCUAGUAGCGGCGAGCGAACGGGGAACAGCCCAGAGUCUUAAUCAAUAGCAGCAUCAGGAGAACGGUCUGGAAAGUCCGGCAGUAAAGGGUGAUAGCCCCGUAUCUGAAGAUGCUGUUAUUGUGAACUCGACGAGUAGGGCGGGACACGUGUUAUCCUGUCUGAAUAUGGGGGGACCAUCCUCCAAGGCUAAAUACUCCUGAUUGACCGAUAGUGAACCAGUACCGUGAGGGAAAGGCGAAAAGAACCCCGGCGAGGGGAGUGAAAAAGAACCUGAAACCGUGUACGUACAAGCAGUAGGAGCC
rnacentral:rRNA from 3 species